UUGCUUCAUCCACCUUCCACAACCAUUGAUUUACAUAAGGAAGGAUGACCACAUUAUCAAAAUUUGACAUAACAGUUGAUUUGCUUCCUCCAUUUACAAACCCUAACCUUCAUCUCUUUCCUCACCCGCCUCCAUCCUCUCUUCCUUAGCAAAAUGCACUGUCAAAAUUUUUUAGCAAAAUGCAAAAAGUGGCGAAAUGCACUAUCAAAAGGCAAAUCAACAACUUAUUUCUUCUCUUUUUUUAGCAAAAUGCACUGUCAAAAUUUUUUCUUUUCAUAAAUUCAUCUUGGCCGGUGAGAUUUGAUAUUAUGUGAAGAUUUGCUUCAUUCCUCCUUCGCUCGGUAACAAACGACGAAGUGCCAUAAAAGUGGCGACAAAUUUGUUGUGGGUAUUUUUCGUUUUACUGUCAUUCAAAGGAUAUCAUUCAAGAAUCUAUUAGUCCGAAUUUGUUGAAUCCAUCCACUUUUUAUUAUUAUGCCGCUGAUAUUUAGAAAAUGACAUUUGAGAUCUCUGUUUUUUCUUUUGUUUCCUUACCGACAAUAUUUUUUUUUGUUCGUUACAGGCAAUAUUUAGAAAAUGGAAUAACCAAUUGAUGAUGAGUUGCAAGUCGCGGAUCAAGGGAGACGAUCUACAAGAGUAGCAUAGUUAUAAAAUGUAAUUAUAAUUUUUUCAGUGUUAACAGAUCUGGAGGUUGGAACGAGUAUAAUUAUUUUGUAAUUGUGGUGGUGCAAAUAAAUUGGUAUUUAAAAAAAUAAAUAAAGGAGCCUACAUGCUUAUUACUUUGUAAUUUAUAAAGAUUUUAUUUUUUGUAUGGUUAGAUUAGUUUUGUAAAAUAUGAAUAUUGGAGAAUGAUAAACAAAAUGGCAAUUUUGUCCUAAUUUUUUUUUUA